GAUUAGACUGCACCCUGGCGAAGAGAGUAACUAUAACGCAGCAAUUGCAUAAAAAUAUCGUCCGGAAAGCGGCAACAGAAUAUUUGAGAGACUAGAUUUGAAGUGCACCAUGGCAUUGAGGCAAUUGUGUGGAUUUUCUGAUGGGGAGGUGAUGAGAUCAGAUUGUAAGACUUGUUCCAGAUUGACGAGACAAACUGCUGCAAUAUUCUCAGUUGGAGGAGCAUUAGGUUUUUGGGUGCUGUGCCGCUUGCACUACGGCCCUAGAAUCACAAAUCCUCGAAGUUUUAGGUGGGGGGCUUGUGGAGCAGUCUCUACGAGCUCUACCACCGCAUUGCUGGUUCGCCUGUUUAGUCCAGAAUGUGAGCCUCAAAAUAUCGCUGCUUAUGACAAGAAAGGAUAGUGUUGCCUAUUCACAAGCUUUGACUACCCUAUGAUGGCAGUUGGGGUCUUACGCUUGGAGUUAUGGAGGGCAUUGGACAAAUCAACAUGCUUUGUUUUUCCUACUUCACUUGGAGCAAAGGUUCUUGUCAUUCUUUACACAAAUAUAUCGGCUUUUAAUCUACAUUCCCCUUUUCUUUAUGAUAUAAGAUACUUGUAUAUACAUUUGCCUCAAGAUUACAUUUAUGUUGUGAAUGCCAUUCCAUUUUUGUCCUCAAGUAUGCAGAUGGUUUGUUAGUCCUUACAGUUGCGUAUUUAUGGCUUAAGCUCUGCUAAUUAUGAAACAAAUAUACCAUAAUGCUAACUUUAAGCAGAAAGUAGUACACGUACAUUUGAUUUUGAA